rnacentral:rRNA from 1 species
AGUGAACGCUGGCGGCAGGCCUAACACAUGCAAGUCGAGCGGCAGCGGGUCCUUCGGGAUGCCGGCGAGCGGCGGACGGGUGAGGAAUACAUCGGAAUCUGCCCUGUCGUGGGGGAUAACCUAGGGAAACGUAGGCUAAUACCGCAUACGACCUACGGGUGAAAGCGGGGGAUCGCAAGACCUCGCGCGACAGGAUGAGCCGAUGUCCGAUUAGCUAGUUGGCGGGGUAAAGGCCCACCAAGGCGACGAUCGGUAGCUGGUCUGAGAGGAUGAUCAGCCACACUGGGACUGAGACACGGCCCAGACUCCUACGGGAGGCAGCAGUGGGGAAUAUUGGACAAUGGGCGCAAGCCUGAUCCAGCCAUGCCGCGUGGGUGAAGAAGGCCUUCGGGUUGUAAAGCCCUUUUGUCCGGGAAGAAAUCGUCUGGGCUAAUACCCCGGGCGGAUGACGGUACCGGAAGAAUAAGCACCGGCUAACUUCGUG